UAGCUCAGGGGAUAGAGCACGGCUCUCCUAAAGCCGGUGUCGCAGGUUCGAAUCCUGCG
rnacentral:tRNA from 1 species